AAUUUUCUCUCACACACAAACAUCAUGGCGACUGAUAAAUCAAUCAAAUUGACCAUCUAUUCCAUCAUCUUCAUAGCCCUCUUGGCUCAUACUGAAUGCAGUGAAAGCAGUUGGCUUGGGGCUACUAGCAACAAGGAGAAGAUACAUGUUGGUAGAUUGCUGGUAGGUGCUCCAGCUCCAAUACUCACAAUACAUACUUGUGAUGCACAAUGUAAAUCGGUAAAAGAUUGUCAUACCUGGUGUUGUUGGCUCACGGGAAAGGAACAUUGCUAUAAAACUGAAGAUGAGUGUAAACGUAUAUGCAUACCUGGCCUUUUCUAGUCACAAACAACAAAGAUCAAGAUUAUACUUGUACUGUUUCGCUUUUAACUAAUCAUUAUCCCUAAAAAUGAAAUAAUUUACUUGUGCAUAGCACAAUGUAACUGAAUGAUCGCUAUAAAUGAAUCAAAAUGUUUCGCUAGUUUUUUA